rnacentral:rRNA from 1 species
UACAGAGGGGGCAAGCGUUGUUCGGAAUUACUGGGCGUAAAGCGCGCGCAGGUGGUCUUUCAAGUCAGUGGUGAAAGCCCGGAGCUCAACUCCGGAAAUGCCAUUGAAACUGUAAGACUUGAGGAUGAGAGAGGUGAGUGGAAUUCCCAGUGUAGAGGUGAAAUUCGUAGAUAUUGGGAAGAACACCGGUGGCGAAGGCGGCUCACUGGCUCAUAUCUGACGCUCAGGCGCGACAGCGUGGGGAUCAAACAGG